GAAACUCCAAGGAGCUACACUAGCAGCCAAGAGGAGAGGUGCCUCUCUGGGUCAUGAGCUAGGGCUCAGGAAUGGCCUGGUACACGAUAUAUUCCUGAAGCACCAUGGAAACAAACAGAUGAGACACACUCCCAGCAGCAGCAGCCUGCCAGAGGAAAUGUCUCCCUUGCUGCAGCCAGCUCUGGCUUUGCCUAAGCCUGGGUAGGGGAACCAGGGCUGGGGUGGGCCCUUCCUAGGGUAGUAUCUUCCUUGCCCUCCCCACCCCAUUCCAGACCUGUGGCCCCUGAGGUGAGGAGCAGCCCAGGGCACAGUGGGCUCGGCUGGGCCCAUCUGUGGGGCAGGGAUACCAGGCCUGUGGGACAGGAGUGAGUUCUGACUAGCAGGCACAGGCCCGGGCAGGGGCUGCAGUGGACUAACAAGAUGGCUCCCAUCAGAGCAGAGAGCAGAGGAGAACAGUGCUGAUCUGACUGGGAAUGAAGUAGCACAGUACCUGCAGUGCUUCUCCAUUCAGGAGGUGGGAAAUCUGUGGAGGGCAGGGGCCGGAGAGGGAUCCCAUGCAGCUGCAUUUUGACAGGGAAGACCUUGCACAGCUAACAACACACAUCAUGGUGUCUCAGAAGAGGGAGAAGAUAGACAUUCUGAUGGAUAGGGCAAAGAGCAAAAUAUUCUGCUCCUAGAGGUAUUGCUCUUUGACUUCUGGAGGCAGAUGCUGUCUUGUCACUAAGAGGAUUCAUCUUUCAGUGAUGAUCUCCUUAUCUCCUUGUUAAGUCAACAUCUUUCAUGUGGUGUAGAAUGUCAUCCUUCCAUGAUGGUGGCCAUCAACUGAUCUGGAGCAGCAGCCUUGACCUGGAGUUGCCUUGUUGCUGUUGUGCAUUUCUAAGUAGAAAUAAAGUUCUCUCAGCUUGGCUUUUUGUUUCUUCUAUGCUUAUUUAUUAAAACGAAAGAAAGAAAGAAAGAAAGAAAGAAAGAAAGAAAGAAAGAAAGAAAGAAAGAAAGAAAGAAA